AGUGAACGCUGGCGGUAGGCCUAACACAUGCAAGUCGAACGGCAGCACAGUAAGAGCUUGCUCUUACGGGUGGCGAGUGGCGGACGGGUGAGGAAUACAUCGGAAUCUACUUUUUCGUGGGGGAUAACGUAGGGAAACUUACGCUAAUACCGCAUACGACAUACGGGUGAAAGCAGGGGAUCUUCGUACCUUGCGCGAUUGAAUGAGCCGAUGUCGGAUUAGCUAGUUGGCGGGGUAAAGGCCCACCAAGGCGACGAUCCGUAGCUGGUCUGAGAGGAUGAUCAGCCACACUGGAACUGAGACACGGUCCAGACUCCUACGGGAGGCAGCAGUGGGGAAUAUUGGACAAUGGGCGCAAGCCUGAUCCAGCCAUACCGCGUGGGUGAAGAAGGCCUUCGGGUUGUAAAGCCCUUUUGUCGGGAAAGAAAAGCAGCAGGUUAAUACCCCGCUGUUCUGACGGUACCCAAAGAAUAAGCACCGGCUAACUUCGUG
rnacentral:rRNA from 1 species